UUGGGGGAAAUUCGGUAACUCACUCUUCUCUGCAACAUGUUGAAGCUGUUUUCAUGGCGUCGAGCAAUCCAUCCAUCUCCUUCCUCAUCCACUCGCCUCCCCGCCAUAUUCCGAUUCCUCAGCCACUCUCCGCCAUCGGCAGCGGCAGCAUUAGAAGAAAUUCACGACCCUCCAUUUUCCUCAGAAACACUCCAUAACAGAACAAAAAUCAAACCCGCAAAGAAGAAAGACAAGCAACCAAAUGUUAAUGAUAAUAAUAGCAACAGCGUUGAGAAACCCCCUGAGCUGCCCUUCGAUUUCAUGUACUCUUACUCGGAGAUCAGCCCCGGCGUUGAGCCAAUUGGUUUCCGCGAACCCCCCAAAUUCUCCCCUUUCGGACCAGGCCGGCUCGACCGGAAUUGGACCGGGACCACCGCCCCGGCUACGGUGAAGCCGGAUUUGGAGAAGCUGGCGAAGGAGCGCCAGAAGGUUCUUGGAGAUCCGAUUUCCGAUGAGGAGGUUGCUGAGCUCGUUGAGAAGUAUCGCCACAGCAAUUGCUCCCGCCAAAUCAAUUUGGGGAGAGGAGGUGUUACACAUAACACACUGGAAGAUAUACACAGCCACUGGAAAAGGGCUGAGGCUGUGAGAAUAAAGUGCUUGGGGGUGCCGACUCUCGACAUGGACAACAUCUGUUUCCAUCUCGAGGACAAGACCGGGGGGAAGAUUAUAUACCGUCACUUGAAUAUCCUCCUCCUGUAUCGUGGGCAUAACUAUGACCUCAGAAAACGGCCGCAGAUUCCACUUAUGUUAUGGAAGCCUCUCGCGCCAAUAUAUCCCAAGCUAGUGAAGAAUGUAGCUGAUGGCCUGACGUUUGAAGAAACUAAGGAGAAGCGAAACAGAGGGCUUAAUUCUCCUCCUAUUAUGAAACUUACUAGGAAUGGUGUGUAUGUGAACGUCGUGGAGAAAGUGAGGACAGCAUUUGAGUCCAAUGAUGUUGUGAGAUUAGACUGCACUCAUGUGGGCUCAAGUGAUUGCAAGAAAAUUGGUGUCAAACUAAGAGAUCUGGUUCCGUGUGUCCCUAUCUUGUUCAAAGACGAACAGAUUAUACUCUGGAAGGGCAAAAAAGAAGGCGAGUGAGAUCUUUGCAGCUUUUUCAUCAAAGAGGGCUCAAUGGAACACUUGGAUGAAGGCACAUUAACGGUGGGCGGUUACAACUAGAGAGAAUGAGGUUGAUCGUUGUCGUUCCUGUGCCAGCCCCAAAGUGCGUGAGUUAUAUUCACGACGUUGAAAACACCAUGACCGAAACUUGCUUCGCGAAAGGCAGACCACUCAGGCUGCUCCUUUAAAAUAGUUCAGCUGAAACUCAAAGGUUGAAUAAAGAUAGAAGAAACAAACCAUACCGUGCGUUCAUAGGCAUGAACAUGACCAGUUAAAACGAUGUCCACGGAAGCCGCGUGCAGCAAGGGCUCCAUUGCUGCCAUCAUGCCGUCACCUUCACCUUGAUGAGCCGUGUUGCUGUUAUACCACGGCACGUGGAGUACCGCGACGAUCCACGGUGUAUUUCCACGAUUCACCUUCGCAAGAUCGCCCUACCAUCACCAAAAGAAGAAGUGAAUACUAUUAUAAAUUUUGUAUGUGCGUGUGUUGGUCUAAUGAUAGUGCCGUUUAUGUAUAAGGCCAAAAUUUUCAAGUUCAAUUCUGCUAUCAAACGAACAUAUAUGUAGUCA